CAAAAGGCGGCCGCGGUGUUCAGGUGGCCCGUAUGCAUGUUCCAGAUCCCACGGAGAUGUAGGCAGGCAGUCCGACAGCUUGGACCGGCCCCGGGCCUCUGGCCUCCCUCUUCUGCUCCCGUGGCUUCCCCGGUGCACAGCUUGCGGUUUACUUGGACCUCUGCCUCAUCUUUCUUCUUUUGCGCUUCAGCCUGAAAAGCAGACACUUAAGAAUACACGCCUUGCCCUCAAGCCCAUAACAAGCCCCCCUCCCCCAUCUUAAUGUACACACAACACAGGGUAGUGGCAACAUGAAGCACUACAUUCUCUAGUCUUAGUGCUCAAAGCGUUUUUCACCUGAAAUCCUUUUAGAUUCUAAACCAAACGUCCCUCCCAAGUUUUGUUUACGGCAUGCACCACCUCACCUCCCUCCUCCAGGGCCUGCAAAGUCUCAACAUACCUGCGCAUUCGCUUCUUCCUCCACUGGCCACCGAUUAUAACCAGAGGCAAGGAAUAAAGAAAAAUGUCGUUAGUUUUUGACAGGUUUAGAUAGGGGUGUGGAGAGCAUUCUUUGGAAGUCAGGCACGUUCUCGACCUAACAUGAGGGCUUAAUCGCAGUAAUCACGUCAGUAAUUUGGCCUCCUAACCCCCACACCUGAAGUCAACUCCUAACUCCACACGCGCUCUUUCCUCACAGCAGUUACCCGACCCCCCCCCCCCCUAUGCUUCUCCCCGAACCAUCCUUCCUCUCCCACCUCUCAGACACCCGGGAGAACCGGCGGCUCGGGAGCCAUGGCGAACUUUCCUUGCCGGGUCCCCCCCCGCCCCCAUCAUCAAGUCCCACAGCCUCAGCUUACCCCCAGGGAGUGCUUACCUUGGCUCUCAUGGCGCAGAGGUUUCUACGGGCAAAGAGAAAAAGGUUACAGUUAGUUGGCUGUAACGAUGGUAAUGGAUUGUACGCGGAACCACACAGAGAAAACAGAAACACCCACCUAGGAAGAUGGCGCUAAGGCCGAGAGAGCGAGCAAGGCCCGCCUCCGCUAUUUAAGGGCGCGCUCGCUGUCGUCACUUCCGCUGCUCAGCCCGCCUUCCGGGGGCGUAACAAUGGCUUCCGGCCCCUUUCAGAUACCUCGUUAGGGAUGCUGUCCUCUUGGAAAACGGGGUGUUUUGAAUUUGAGUUACAAAACUGCCCGCCCCGUUUCGUUGUUGAGGACGUCGUUAUUUAAACGUGAGCACCCGUUUCCAGAACGAGGCCUCGAGGUGCUGGCGAGCAAGACAGCGACUUCCUCCUCUCUCGUUGCUUCAUGGGAGUUGCAGUUUCCUGGUGACACCCUCCAUUUUAUUAUAAAUAGGGUGAGAUAUCAAACCUGUAACCAAGGCAACAGCUUUUGACCAGAAAUCCAACCCGGCCACACACUUCCGGUGUGCAGGCAGGUGCUCUAACCACUGAGCACACUGGUCGAGGCUUGCAAGGUUUAUUGCCGACCCAAUAUAAUCCCUUUCUUGAUGGUUUCCCUUUGUAACUUAUGCAUUAACAUAUCACCCUUUUAGCUCUAUCAAAACAAGGUUUUUAAAACUUGGGGCCCUUGUUCUAAGUGCUUAAGUAGUUCUAGUAUUUUCAUUAUCACAAUUGUUUUUGAAAACAAAAAAUUCCAUCAGAAUUGCUUCAUUAUCAAAUACCAAAUCCACCAGGCUUUCACCUGUUGACUGCCUAGCCUACAGGCUCUUAUGAAGAGCUCCAUGUUUUGUUCACUCUGUUGGACAGCAUACCUGACAUGUAAGAUACUCAAAUCUAAUUAUUCAUUUAGGCUGGCCCUGACAACUUGUAUAACACUAAAGGCAUUUUUCCUGGCUUCCUAAAUCAAAACAAACACCUGUAUAGUGUUUUUAUUUUUUUUCAGUACACAUUAAAUGUGCUAGUCCUGAACAGUGUCAGCAGCAAGGUUGAUGGUUUUAUUUUUUAAAA